CAGAAGUAGCUAGCCUAACUGCAAAGAGGGCGGUUACCACGGUGUGGCCGAUGACUGGGGGGAAGUCGUAACAAGGUAGCCGUAGGGGAACCUGCGGCUGGAUCACCUCCUUAACGAA
rnacentral:rRNA from 1 species